rnacentral:lncRNA from 1 species
AAGCUUCACCAUCAAAGCUUCACCUAGAAAGCUUCAACACAAAACCUUGCUCCAAAUAAACAAAUUUUGUUCACAAAACCCAAGAUGCCCUUGAACUUGUACAAAAACACUUGGGUAAACAUAAACAUUUUUUGUUUUACACCCACAAGGGCCCAAAAUUUUCCUUCUUAUUUUUUCACUUAUAUAUGUUCCCAAACAUAUUAUGAUAGAUCAAAUAAUAAUUCAAAGUCCAAAAUUUAGUUGUGGACAAAAAUACAAGCAAUUCACCAGUACUGAAGUUGCUACAAAAACUGGAAUCUUCCCCAGCCUAGAAAUCCAACAAAGCUUCGCCUCCUUUUCUCUAUCAAAUUUUUGCAACUGCUGCUUUUCUCCAAUGGAGCUGAAUUUUGGACACCCUCUAGUUCUUGAGCAGAUGAACAACUUUCAAGAAGGAACCAUUUCUGUUUGAGCCACGGAAAUUAAAGUGUUGAAGCUCCAAGCAUGACAGUCGGAUUCUUGCAGAUUUCGAAGUUGCUGUGAUGUUUCGAAGAUCUGGAAAUAUUUAACCAUUAGUUCAUUCUGAAUUUUUGAUAUGUUAUGAAAAGAGACGAUGAGGAACAACUUCAAUGAAGAAAGCAUGCUGAUCUGAACAAUCGAAAAUGGAGUUUCGAAGCUCACAACAAAUCUGACGGGUUGACAGAAAAAUAAUAACCAGUCAUUCAUCAUACCUGAAUUUCUUGAGUUAUACUGCUCCGAGGGAUCUCAAAUUUGGAUAUGUUGUAGUUCACAAGCUGAGGAACAACUUCAAUGAAGAAAGCAUGCUGAUCUGAGCAAGAGAAAAUAGAGUUUCAAAGCUCACAACAAAUCUGACGGGUUGACAGACAAAUGAUAAACAGUCACUCAUCAUACCUGGAUUUCUGGAGUUGUACUGAUCUGAUGGCUCUCAAAUUUGGAUAUGUUGUAGUUCACAAGCUGAGGAACAACUUCAAUGAAGAAAGCAUGCUGAUCUAAGCAAGAGAAAAUAGAGUUUCAAAGCUCACAACAAAUCUGACGGGUUGACAGACAAAUGAUAAACAGUCACUCAUCAUACCUGGAUUUCUGGAGUUGUACUGAUCUGAUGGCUCUCAAAUUUGGAUAUGUUGUAGUUAAGGAAUUAAAGAACAACUUUCAUGAAGACAACUUUGUGAUUCGAGCUACAGAUGAUGGUCUUAUAUUGAAAACCAAUUCAGGGUGUUAAGGGAAAUGAAAAACAAUUCCACCAAAGAAACAUCAUUAUGAUGUUUCAUCAUUAUGGUGUUUUCAUCAU